CCCUUAAGAGGAAGUAUACAAAAAACAUGUUACACUGUACUUUUCUAUAUGUACGUUUUGGAAUUUUAUGUUUAAGUGUGUUUUAUGUUCAGUAAAAUCUUUUUUUUUUUUUUUUUUUAAGUUUGAGAGAGAAUGCACCAGUGGGGGAGGGGCAGAGAGAGAGGGAGAUCCCAAACAGGCUCCACACCGUCAGCACAGAGCCUGAUGUGGGGCUCCAAUCCAUGAAGUGUGAGCUCAUGACCUGAGCCAAAAUCAAGAGUUGGAUGUUUUUAACUGACUGAGCCAUGCAGGCACCCCUUUUCUUAAUAGUCACUCUAUCAAGUGAUUUUAUUAAAACCUUAGUAAGUUAUACUUUAGAUGAUGUAUUUCCACUGCUUAAACACAACCUUAUUUCACUUACUGAAACAAAACUGCAAAGGUCUCCUCAUGAAUAGUCAUGUACUAUCUUUCCCAAUAAUGCAAUUAAAACCAAUUAAUAUUGUAAAUAAGUUUUAGAUCUGUAGAGUGUAUAAGGUUUUAUAUAAUUGCCCCACUCUUCUCUCUUCCCUUUCCCUAAAAUUCUGGAUUGCCUGCUGAGUCAUUUUUCUAAUUCUUUCAGAACCCCCCAAAUCUGAUUAUUCCUCCUGUCAUUUCUCCUGCCAUUUCUGAACCUAUCAGUAACCAAGAACUACACUACUGCCCCAUCCAUUUUAUGGAACAAUGCUCAACAAAAUCCUGGGACAAGUUCGUUCUGCUCUUCAGGAAGUAGAAAUCUUUUCUCCAGAGGAAGCUCUACCUAAUUAUCAACUGAGUUCCAGGAAAGUAAAGCCAGUGCCCCAGGCCCUGUCUUGCCUAAUGUCAUUCCAGAUCUACUUGGAUAAAUUCCAAAUAAAGAAACAACCAAGCUAGGAUGUUGUUGACUUAUCAUCUUAUUCUCCAUUUUUCAAAGGAAUGACAUUAUCAGUUGUAUGGUUGAUUUAUAUGAAUUUUUAAAUAGGUAUUUUAAUUUAGCUCACAUAUUGAACUACCAAAGUUCAUAUUUUGUCAUAUUUUGAUAUUGAUUUGAAAAGAGAUAAAAAAAUUUACAUAUAUGUAUGUACCAUUCUACUUUUGCUUACGAAUAUGUAUGUCUAAUAAAAUGAAAGAUAAUUUUAUGAACGUGUUAGCUGUAUAAAGAUGCAUAGUAACUUUUUUUCUUCAAUGUUAACAACACAUGUGAUUUAAUCAACAUAAAAGUAAACUUUAGGGGAAGAGAAUAAUUUAUUAGUUUUUUGAUAAAGAGGAUAGAAAAUUAGUAUGUUUUUAGUGUAUAUCAAGAGUUAGCUUUUACCUUCAAAACAGUUAAAUUACAGGUAAAACCAAGAAAAACUAUUUCCCUUUAACCAAUAUUAUUUUUUGUAGCAAUGACUUUGAAAGUUCUAAAUAAAAUUUUCAUCUUAAAAGAAUGUAUCCAUUUUUUGGUUAAAAGCUUGUUUGGGAUGAACUGCUAUUUCCUACAUUAAUCAAAUGCUGGCAACCUGAAUAGCAUCACAGCUACUUACAAGAUAUCAGAUGAAAAGAAUCAGUAUACUAGAAUGAGCCACACACUUUAACAAGCCUGUGAACAGUGAAGAAAAUAUAAUGCCCUGUGUUUGAGGAUUUUAUAUUACCUUAAGGAGGCGAUGACAGUAUUACAGAUAUUUAAAAAAAAAAAAAAAAAAAGAAAGUAAACUAUUCCAAAAACUGUGA